AUUGAACGCUGGCGGCAUGCCUUACACAUGCAAGUCGAACGGUAGAGUAGCAAUACUUGAGAGUGGCGAACGGGUGAGUAAUAUAUCGGAACGUGCCCAGUCGUGGGGGAUAACGUAGAGAAAUUUACGCUAAUACCGCAUACGAUCUAAGGAUGAAAGCGGGGGAUUCGCAAGAACCUCGCGCGAUUGGAGCGGCUGAUAUCAGAUUAGGUUGUUGGUGAGGUAAAAGCUCACCAAGCCGACGAUCUGUAGCUGGUUUGAGAGAACGACCAGCCACACUGGGACUGAGACACGGCCCAGACUCCUACGGGAGGCAGCAGUGGGGAAUUUGGACAAUGGGCGAAAGCCUGAUCCAGCAAUGCCGCGUGCAGG
rnacentral:rRNA from 1 species